rnacentral:rRNA from 1 species
UAAUACGUAGGGGGCGAGCGUUGUCCGGAAUCAUUGGGCGUAAAGCGCGUGUAGGCGGCUCGGCAAGUCUGGUGUGAAAACUGGAGGCUCAACCUCCAGCUGUCGCUGGAUACUGCCGGGCUUGAGUCCGGAAGAGGAGAGUGGAAUUCCUGGUGUAGCGGUGGAAUGCGCAGAUAUCAGGAGGAACACCAAUGGCGAAGGCAGCUCUCUGGUACGUGACUGACGCUGAGACGCGAAAGCGUGGGGAGCGAACAGGAUUAGAUACCCUGGUAGUCCACGCCGUAAACGAUGGACGCUAGGUGUGGGUGGUGUCGACUCCAUCCGUGCCGAAGCUAACGCAUUAAGCGUCCCGCCUGGGGAGUACGGCCGCAAGGCUA